UCAAAGGUUUUUCUUCCUUUCUUAUACAAAAACCACAAACAUUUACAAGAAUUGCUAG
rfam:Cuculus canorus isolate BGI_N303 unplaced genomic scaffold scaffold227, whole genome shotgun sequence.